rnacentral:rRNA from 1 species
GACGAACCGUGCGAACGUUAUUCGGAAUCACUGGGCGUAAAGCGCAUGUAGGCGGUUCGUCAAGUCGUGUGUUAAAGCCCCUGGCUCAACUGGGGGAGGUCAUGCGAGACUGUCGGACUUGAGGGCAGUAGAGGCACGUGGAACUCCCGGUGUAGCGGUGGAAUGCGUAGAGAUCGGGAAGAACACCCGUGGCGAAGGCGACGUGCUGGGCUGCAUCUGACGCUGAGGUGCGAAAGUGUGGGGAGCAAACGGG